rnacentral:rRNA from 1 species
UACAGAGGUCCCGAGCGUUGUUCGGAUUCAUUGGGCGUAAAGGGUGCGUAGGCGGCCUGUUAAGUUUGAUGUGAAAUCCCGGGGCUCAACCCUGGAAUUGCAUUGAAUACUGGCAGGCUAGAGUACCGGAGAGGAAACUGGAAUUUACGGUGUAGCAGUGAAAUGCGUAGAGAUCGUAAGGAAGACCAGUGGCGAAGGCGAGUUUCUGGACGGUAACUGACGCUGAGGCACGAAGGCCAGGGGAGCAAACGGG